rnacentral:rRNA from 1 species
UGAGUAACGCGUGGGCAACCAACCCUGUACAGUGGGAUAACACCGGGAAACCGGUGCUAAUACCGCAUGACACCUAGACAGUGCAUACUGACUAGGUUAAAGGAUUUAGCCGGUACAGGACGGGCCCGCGUCCCAUUAGCUAGUUGGUGAGGUAACGGCUCACCAAGGCGACGAUGGGUAGCCGACCUGAGAGGGUGACCGGCCACACUGGGACUGAGACACGGCCCAGACUCCUACGGGAGGCAGCAGUGGGGAAUAUUGCGCAAUGGAGGAAACUCUGACGCAGCGACGCCGCGUGAGCGAAGAAGGCCUUCGGGUCGUAAAGCUCUGUUCUUGGGGACGAAUAAGGUGACGGUACCCAAGGAGAAAGCCCCGGCUAACUACGUGCCAGCAGCCGCGGUAAUACGUAGGGGGCUAGCGUUGUCCGGAAUUACUGGGCGUAAAGGGCGUGUAGGCGGCCGAGCAAGUCAAGUGUGAA